rnacentral:rRNA from 1 species
GCCAGACUCCUACGGGAGGCAGCAGUGGGGGAUAUUGCACAAUGGGGGAAACCCUGAUGCAGCGACGCCGCGUGAGCGAUGAAGUAUUUCGGUAUGUAAAGCUCUCUCAGCAGGGAAGAAAAUGACGGUACCUGACUAAGAAGCCCCGGCUAACUACGUGCCAGCAGCCGCGGUAAUACGUAGGGGGCAAGCGUUAUCCGGAUUUACUGGGUGUAAAGGGGGCGCAGACGGCAGCGCAAGCCAGGAGUGAAAGCCGGGGCCCCAACCCCGGGACUGCUCUUGGAACUGCGCGGCUGGAGUGCAGGAGGGGCAGGCGGAAUUCCUGGUGUAGCGGUGAAAUGCGUAGAUAUCAGGGGGAACACCGGUGGCGAAGGCGGCCUGCUGGACUGCGACUGACGUUGAGGCCCGAAAGCGUGGGGAGCAAACAGGAUUAGAUACCCCGGUA